UGACGCUUAGGACAAUCCUGCUCAGAGUUCCAUAUAGUGGCAUUACAGGGAUAUAUAAAGAGGUGCUCAGCAGAUGAGGACCAGACCUUUGCAACCGAAAAUUCAACUUUAAAGUUCCAAAGAUCUGUCCCAGGAAGGCUGGAGGGCUGUGUGAUCUACAAGGUGAGACAGGGAAUUUCAAGGUUGGAAUCAAAGGCUCCUGAGCAGAUGGAAAAAAAAAAGAAACAUAGGUAUGCAGCCACCCAGACAACAGCCAGUUAACCCUUCCUUUCCCAAGCCCACUGUUGGACUUUAUGAGAGUCUCAGUCUCUGAAUAGGUAUGCCUCAGUUUCUCCUGCAAGCAUGCUGUGACACAUGGCAAACUUAACUUCUUUUACAUGCUAUAUAAUAUCAAGAGCAAUAAGAUAGUAUUAUUUUAUUGGUUCUAUAUUCUGUUUAAUUUUUUGCGGGGGGAACACAAGACCUUGCUAUGUACCCCAGGUCGGAUUGAAAGUCAUAAUUCUCCUGCCUCAGUCACCCAAGUGUUGCAAUUAUAGGCGUGAGUCAUCCAUCAUUUCUAAUUCUGAUUUUCUUCUCUGACUAUCAGUGGUGAAGAGCUGAGUAAGUAAGAGUUGCUGUUACUCAGCUGGUGAAGUAGCUGGGUGGAUUAGGGGUUUGCACAAAGCCUGACCACCCCAACUUUGACUCACUGGGACCCAGUGGUGGAAGGAGUGAACUGACUUCUGCAAGCUGUCUCCUGACCACCGCCUAUAUGUGUGCCCACACGUGCACAGAUGAAGAAAUAAAAAUGUAAUCAAAAUCAAAAA